AAUCCAUAGGUUAAUGAGGCGAACCGGGGGAACUGAAACAUCUAAGUACCCCGAGGAAAAGAAAUCAACCGAGAUUCCCCCAGUAGCGGCGAGCGAACGGGGAGGAGCCCAGAGCCUGAAUCAGCAUGUGUGUUAGUGGAAGCGUCUGGAAAGGCGCGCGAUACAGGGUGACAGCCCCGUACACAAAAGCGCAUGUGCUGUGAGCUCGAUGAGUAGGGCGGGACACGUGGUAUCCUGUCUGAAUAUGGGGGGACCAUCCUCCAAGGCUAAAUACUCCUGACUGACCGAUAGUGAACCAGUACCGUGAGGGAAAGGCGAAAAGAACCCCGGCGAGGGGAGUGAAAAAGAACCUGAAACCGUGUACGUACAAGCAGUGGGAGCACAGGUUUACCUGUGUGACUGCGUACCUUUUGUAUAAUGGGUCAGCGACUUAUAUUCUGUAGCAAGGUUAACCGAAUAGGGGAGCCGGAGGGAAACCGAGUCUUAAUUGGGCGUUAAGUUGCAGGGUAUAGACCCGAAACCCGGUGAUCUAGCCAUGGGCAGGUUGAAGGUUGGGUAACACUAACUGGAGGACCGAACCGACUAAUGUUGAAAAAUUAGCGGAUGACCUGUGGCUGGGGGUGAAAGGCCAAUCAAACCGGGAGAUAGCUGGUUCUCCCCGAAAGCUAUUUAGGUAGCGCCUCGUGAAUUCAUCUCCGGGGGUAGAGCACUGUUUCGGCUAGGGGGCCAUCCCGGCUUACCAACCCGAUGCAAACUGCGAAUACCGGAGAAUGUUAUCACGGGAGACACACGGCGGGUGCUAACGUCCGUCGUGAAGAGGGAAACAACCCAGACCGCCAGCUAAGGUCCCAAAGUCAUGGUUAAGUGGGAAACGAUGUGGGAAGGCCCAGACAGCCAGGAUGUUGGCUUAGAAGCAGCCAUCAUUUAAAGAAAGCGUAAUAGCUCACUGGUCGAGUCGGCCUGCGCGGAAGAUGUAACGGGGCUAAACCAUGCACCGAAGCUGCGGCAGCGACACUGUGUGUUGUUGGGUAGGGGAGCGUUCUGUAAGCCUGUGAAGGUGGCCUGUGAGGGUUGCUGGAGGUAUCAGAAGUGCGAAUGCUGACAUAAGUAACGAUAAAGCGGGUGAAAAGCCCGCUCGCCGGAAGACCAAGGGUUCCUGUCCAACGUUAAUCGGGGCAGGGUGAGUCGACCCCUAAGGCGAGGCCGAAAGGCGUAGUCGAUGGGAAACGGGUUAAUAUUCCCGUACUUGGUGUUACUGCGAAGGGGGGACGGAGAAGGCUAUGUUGGCCGGGCGACGGUUGUCCCGGUUUAAGCGUGUAGGUGUGUGUUCCAGGUAAAUCCGGUUCACUUUAACACUGAGGCGUGACGACGAGGCACUACGGUGCUGAAGCAACAAAUGCCCUGCUUCCAGGAAAAGCCUCUAAGCAUCAGGUAACAUCAAAUCGUACCCCAAACCGACACAGGUGGUCAGGUAGAGAAUACCAAGGCGCUUGAGAGAACUCGGGUGAAGGAACUAGGCAAAAUGGUGCCGUAACUUCGGGAGAAGGCACGCUGACACGUAGGUGAAGUGAUUUACUCAUGGAGCUGAAGUCAGUCGAAGAUACCAGCUGGCUGCAACUGUUUAUUAAAAACACAGCACUGUGCAAACACGAAAGUGGACGUAUACGGUGUGACGCCUGCCCGGUGCCGGAAGGUUAAUUGAUGGGGUCAGCGCAAGCGAAGCUCCUGAUCGAAGCCCCGGUAAACGGCGGCCGUAACUAUAACGGUCCUAAGGUAGCGAAAUUCCUUGUCGGGUAAGUUCCGACCUGCACGAAUGGCGUAAUGAUGGCCAGGCUGUCUCCACCCGAGACUCAGUGAAAUUGAACUCGCUGUGAAGAUGCAGUGUACCCGCGGCAAGACGGAAAGACCCCGUGAACCUUUACUAUAGCUUGACACUGAACAUUGAGCCUUGAUGUGUAG
rnacentral:rRNA from 1 species